ensembl:lncRNA
UUUUUUUUUUCUUUUCUGCAGAUAAAUAAAGAUGGUCUAGACUAAAAUUCUUGUUCAGUAGAAGAGACUCUAUAUGAGGACUCAGAAUGGAUAGAAGAUGCCCUUUUUCUGGCCUCCUGUGAUGGCACUUUUAUUAGAUACCCUGCCUAUUCAAAUAUCACUAAUGGCCACCAGCUGCCCUCAGGAGUCGGCUUUCAAUUGUGCACCAUUUAAAACCUUCCACAGUAUGACCCCAGCAGGUCUUUUACACUGAUCCCCAAAAUAAACCCUCUGUUCUAAUCAGCCAAUCUCCUCUGUGCCAACCAUACAUGUUAUAAUCCUCUGAUGUAUAUCUCCUGCACAUAUUUUCUCCUCUUGGAUAACUUGCACACCCUUCUUUUACACUUCUGAAAAUCCUCUUUUUCUCAAAGAUUAAGUCAAAGCCAUCCUCCAUGAAAACUUUCUUGACUACUGACACCAGGAAUCAUCUUUGCUAUUUCUAAAGUUGUAUCAUCUUUACUAUUUCUUUUGCACACAUUUAUUUACUCAGAAAAACACUGAGCACCUAUUAAAUGCCAGUCACAGUAUUUGGCAACAAAAGAACAGAGAUGUCUCUGACAUAGUUCCUUCCUGAAGUUUCACAAGUACGGUUUUAUCAAAUUUACUUACUUCAGCUUCACCAACUUUCUUUCCUCCUCCAUCGUUCAUUUUCUUUAUUAGCACCUUUGACUGAUUCCUCUAGAGCAUGGACAUCUGUUCCUAUAUUGGCUUCUGGACCUGGGUCUGACAUUGAACUUUAUUUUGUUCCUUCAAUUGUCUGUACUUGUUUUUCCAUUUAUAAAAUGAAGGAGAUGAACUAGGUGAAUAGUCUACAUAUUUAGCUGGACUUAAGAAUCAUUGUGUAGCAUUUUAAAUGUACAAGGGGUUGGAUUAGAGCAACGUUUCCCAAUUUUGGUUGCACAUUAAAAUUCUAUGGGAAGCUUUAAAAAGUGUUGAGCCACCCACAAAGAACAAGUUAUUCAAUUUCUGGGAUGUCAGUAUUUUCUAAAAGGCUAGCCUAGGUAAAUUUAAUGUGUCGGUGUUUUCUAACAGGCUGAACCAAGUGAAUUUAAUGUACAGUUGAGAACAACUGAACUUUCCGAUUCUGAUUUGUAGGGCCUUAUACUUUAAAAAACAUUAAAGUAAUUUAAAAGUAAUUUAUAAGACUUUAGCAAGUCCAUAACAUUGAAUAUUAAGAAGGCAGUAACACUAAUGUGUGGAGCAAGACAUUUUUUAAAAUGUGUUUCAGGACUUGGUGAAACUCUAUGACAAUUUUGAAACAAGAAAAUGUAACAUUACCUUUAUGUAUUAUCAGGCUUAAUCAACAUAACCGUUUUCUAAGUUAACACAUGGUCUAAUUCACUUAGGAGAUUAAACAAAUAUUAGACAUUUAAUUGUGACUUAUGAAAGUGAUACAAGAUUCAAGAAUAGGCACAAAUCCCAUUUCUGACAGAAAACACUGAACUUUUGCAACAUUUCACUCUUGGGGUUUAGCUUUUCGUCAUCUAUUUGUGUUACAUUAAAAAAGAGUCCUUGGAUGAGUCUUUGGCCUGAAUAUAGCUCUGCAGCUAGAUCAUACCUAACUUGCAAACCUCACAGGAGAGAGCUGUGAAAUGCAUCUCAUAGCUAGCUAUAAGAAGUGUAUCGGUUGUGAUGUUGGCCCAAAUGCUAUAACAGAUAUCUAGAAUCAAAGUGAUAGUCGCUUAGAGGCAAUAAAAUUUGUUUUUAUCUCAUGCAAAGUUUGUCUUUAUACUCCAGGGCUGAUAUGGUAACUCUACAACUAUUACAGACCUAUUAUACUUCCAAAUUGUUGCAUCUACAGCCUAAAAAUGCAGCUUUCACGUUUUGGCCUGAAAUGGCUGUCUCAGCUCCCAUUUAUUGUAUUCACAUCCCAUCUAGUAGGAAGGAGAAAAUGUGAAAAAUGGAGAAUAUUAUUUAUCCUUAAGGGGAAUACCUCAGCUAUUGCACACAUCACUUUUCUCACAUCUCAUGGCCAGAACUUAGCCAUGUGGCCAGAUAUUGCUGUAAGUGAGGCUUACAAAUGUGGUGUUCGGCUGAGACGCAGUAUGCUCAAAUAACAAUUUUGCUAGUACAUAAGAAGUUGGGGAAAAUUGUUAAUUUCUGUCAGAGACAGAAUGUUGUAAUAACUUGACCAAUUAUUUCCUUUACUAAGGUCCUUCAAUGUUCAUAGCUAAGGACAGAUUAACUCUUUAUUUCUGUCCUCAGCUGGGCUCCCUACUCUCCACACUCACAUUAUCACCACCUAUAAAGUCACCUUCACUAUAGUCUCUGAGACCAAUCAAUUUUAUUUUUAUUUAUUUAUUUAUUUAUUUAUUUUUGCUACUCAUCAAACUAUUUUUUCUUUUGGAGCCAUUCUACCUACUACUAAUGAAGUUGUUGGGUCUAGGUGACUUAACUUUUCUGAUUUUUGGCAGGUGGUACAUGAACACAUAGCUUAAGAUCAAUUAAUUUGAUUCUCCAACUUGAGACUAUGAAUAUAAAUCAGGGGAAAUAAAGAAGUAGAAAUGCUUUAGAGUUAAUUUGGCAUAUGUCAGUGGUAACUUUUAUGCUAUCAGUGAAAUUCAGUAUUCAGUGGUGGCUAUAGUGAUAGUGUUACCCUAACUAUGUUUGACCUUGGCUGUAUUUCCUGUUUUCUUUGGUUCCUGACAUUUUUCUUUGCUUGGUAGUGGGUAGUUACUAUUUAAUGAAUACAGAGUUUUAGUUUUGCAAGAUGAAAAAAUGUUUCAAGAUACAUGGUGGUGACAGUUGCUCAGUAAUAUAAAUGUACCUAAUGCUAAUAAAUUGUACUCAUAAAAAAGGUUAAGAUGGUAGAGUUUAUAUGUAUUUUACCAAUUUUUUAAGAAAUAAAAAAGAAAUAAAAACAUUUUCAGGUUUAACAAAAUCUGAGGAAGAUUAUCACCAACAGACCACUUUUCCACAAAAAGCUAAAGAUGCUCC